CAUCUUUAGCCCCUCUUUUAUUGCCAUGCCAUUGUCAGUUUAUUUUCAACUUAUUAGUUCGAAUGUUCUUUAGGCAUCUUUAGCCCCUCUUUUAUUGCCAUGACAUUGUCAGUUUAUUUUCAACUUAUUAGUUCGAAUGUUCUUUAGGCAUCUUUAGCCCCUCUUUUAUUGCCAUGCCAUUGUCAGUUUAUUUUUAACUUAUUAGUUCGAAUGUUCUUUAGGCAUCUUUAGUCUCUCUUUUCUUGCCAUGCCAUUGCCAGUUUAUUUUUAACUUAUUAGUUCGAAUGUUCUUUAGCAUCUUUAGUCUCUCUUUUAUUGCCAUGCCAUUGUCAGUUUAUUUUCAACUUAUUAUUUCGAAUGUUCUUUAGGAAUCUUUAGCCUCUCUUAAGGUGGUACCUAACACUACAGGGAGAUAACUCUGUAAUAUCAGCUAAACGUUUUAAUUACGUUGCGUUGUGAAGGCAAUAUAAAGCUUCUCAAUGAUCAAAAUUAGUGUUUGUCAAACUGCUUUAUAACCAGUGUAAUUUUUCUGAUAAAACGCUUGGUUCAAAUUUUUUCAUUUUUUUAUAUUUUUGUUAAAGGGUCAAAGUAAAUACUUUGUAAAAAUUGUAUGAAAAUUAAACGAGCCAAAUUAAUUUUAGUGAAAGUGUUGGGUACCACCUUAAU
rnacentral:lncRNA from 1 species